rfam:Enterobacter sp. 638, complete genome.
AUGCCGACACGAGAAGCGAACAUCAGGAUGAUGACGUUUUUCACCGAGGAUACGUCAGGAUGGCGCUGCAGGAAGGCUUAAGGAUGAAGCAAAAAGGAUCACGCAGGACGCGUAAGGGACACCUCCAGGAAGGAGAAAGAGAACCGGUCAGGAUGCCCGGUGGGUCAGGAAGAUCAGGACGUUUCGGGAUGAAACAUUCACAUCAGGAUGAUGUGAGCAGGAUGCGCGGUUUACGGACGACCAGGCCCUCGGGCCACAGGAAAAGUUGUCACGGACGAGCAGGGAGCACAAAUUGUAGCUGGAAUGCUGCGAAACGAACCGGGAGCACUGUUUAUACAGUGCUCCCUUUUUUUGUU